ACUCCUACGGGAGGCAGCAGUAGGGAAUCUUCCACAAUGGACGAAAGUCUGAUGGAGCAACGCCGCGUGAACGAUGAAGGCUUUCGGUCGUAAAGUUCUGUUGUAAGGGAAGAACAAGUGCCGCAGGCAAUGGCGGCACCUUGACGGUACCUUGCGAGAAAGCCACGGCUAACUACGUGCCAGCAGCCGCGGUAAUACGUAGGUGGCAAGCGUUGUCCGGAAUUAUUGGGCGUAAAGCGCGCGCAGGCGGCCUCUUAAGUCUGAUGUGAAAGCCCCCGGCUCAACCGGGGGAGGGCCAUUGGAAACUGGGAGGCUUGAGUAUAGGAGAGAAGAGUGGAAUUCCACGUGUAGCGGUGAAAUGCGUAGAGAUGUGGAGGAACACCAGUGGCGAAGGCGACUCUUUGGCCUAUAACUGACGCUGAGGCGCGAAAGCGU
rnacentral:rRNA from 1 species